CCCCUCCUCCACAGUGUAAGCAUCCGACGGUCGGGGGCGGAUGUUGAAAGGAGGCAAGAGAGUCCGCAAAUGCAGGAGGCGAGGCACGACGCAAGCUCUCCGCUAAUAAGUACGUGUAAGCAUCCCACAGUCGGGGGCGGCCGUUGGGAGGAGGCAAGAGAGUCUGCAGCUGCAGGAAGAACACCGCAAACUCUCCGCUCAUGUCUACGUGUGUGAGAGCCCAGUCAGCGCUCACCAGUCUGAAGGAAGUGUCUCUUUGCUUGGCUCUGAGGAUCGUCGCCAUCUUCAGGACUGAAGAACAAGCGGACGGCAGUCACCUGAGGACAAAACAAGG